ensembl:lncRNA
UUCACCCUGACACACGCACACAUACACGCUCACAACACAGUCAGACACACACAUUUACAGUCUGUCUGACUGCAGUAGUGGAGCUCCGGCAGCAGAAAUCCGGUCGGAAAGGAUUCCUUCCAUUUUUACGCGCAACUUUUCCUCCGUCGGCCGCCUCGCCGCAACGUUUCCACCGCUUCCCCUCGACUGUUUUGGAUUUCUAACAACCAUCUCCCGGCUGUUUCUAACGGGCAACCAGCGAGGAGUGCAAGCCCGCCCGGAAUCGGAUCUCCUGUCACCGGGGUUUGCUUGUUGUCAUUCUCGCACGGAGACGGAGACGCGCAGCCGGAGCGCAGGCAGAAGGGGCAGUUUGUGGACUUGAUAAACUGGACGAGAGGACAAACAGUUACACCAGAUGGCCCCAUGAAGACACUCCCAUUAAAACUGAACUGACCCCCUGCAGACCACCAGGUGUGAGAAAACUGAAUGACUUUUGAAGCUACAGAAAGAGCAUCUACAAGCACUUUUGCCUGAAGAAAAAUCAAUCAAAGGUUCUUCUGCCUUUAGAUGAACUGGACACAAAAACAAUGCACAGCAACAUUAGUGUUUUUACAAAAUGGCUAAAGGAGAGAAACACC